CUCAGACAAUAGAAACCUCCAACGGAGUUUAUGUAUGUCACUUCCCAUGCCCGUGCAAAUUAGACCCAAAAAAACCCAAGCAAACAAUAGAAAUAAAAGUUCCGGCAACAGAAAUUCCCGACAGAUCUUGUUCAUGUUUUGGUGAACUAUCGUCGGAUUCGAUCAAUCGCCAACAAGAGCCAAAUGACCCCAGGAUAUCACCAAGACCGGCGAUAGAAAAGCCAAAGCAAACAACAAAACCUGACGGAAUUCGUUCAUGUUUUGGCAAAUCGUCAUCGAAUUUGAUCGAUCGCCAACAAGGACUUUCUGAGAGCGACGAAAAAAAGGCGUCAACCAAACCUAAAUAUCCGG